rnacentral:misc_RNA from 1 species
GAUGAAGACGCAGCGAAAUGCGAUAAGUAAUGUGAAUUGCAGAAUUCAGUGAAUCAUCGAAUCUUUGAACGCAUCUUGCGCUCCUUGGUAUUCCGAGGAGCAUGCCUGUUUGAGUGUCAUUUAACUUCUCAACCACAUUGGAUAUUUUUUUUCCGAUGCCGGCUUGGAUGUGGGGGUUGUUUGCAGGCUUUUUGUAACAAAAAAGGUCGGCUCCCCUGAAAUGUAUUAGUGGUAUCUGAGGCUAUUACUAUUAGGUGUGAUAAUUAUCUAUGCCUUUUGGGUAUGCCGCAUGAACAGAUUAUGCUGCUUCUAACGAAAACUAUUUUGAUGAAUUUGACCUCAAAUCAGGUAGGACUACCCGCUGAACUUAAGCAUAUCAAUAAGCGGAGGA